rnacentral:lncRNA from 1 species
UGGCAGAGUGGGUGACCCCUGGCUCAAAGGGACAAAACCGUGAGGUGUAGGGACAUCCGGGCCAUCCGGAGACUAUGCCAAAGCGGACAAUACUUACCAAGGGUAGGGCUAUGACAAUUGGUAUCAGAGCCGGCCUCGUUCCCUCUGGCUGGUGGUGGGGCAAACCUCAGCGAGGACGCUGAGUCCCUUAGGGGGGGUGAAUGUGACAUCCUGGCCAUCAGGGGGCAUUCGCCUUAGGCGAAUCCCACAUCGGCUACGGACGAGGUAAACGAUCUAUACAUAAGAGGGGUAGUCUCUAACCUUGGUAGGC